UGAUACCAUGGAGAUAGCACAUCCAGAGAGCUUCAAUGAGAUGUUCUAGCCUGUCCAAAAGCUUUAUUCUAGAGCCACUCAGAGGACAUGUGAUCACUCCCUACUUCCACCAAGAGCAAUUGCUUCUACAGAAUUCAAGGAAGCCAACAACCAAGCAAAAUUAUCCAUCCUGAUCCCAGCAAUUUGCUAUCCAACCUUCAUGCUUACGGGUGCAAACAUCUACUCAGAGGAGAGCUGAAGGAACCCCAAGCCAUCAACCUCUAUCCCAAAAGGGAAGCAAAGCUCUCCAAUGACAUUCACUCACAGAAUGUUC